rnacentral:rRNA from 1 species
UACGAAGGGUGCAAACGUUGCUCGGAAUUAUUGGGCGUAAAGCGCCCGUAGGCGGCAUUGCAAGUCGGAUGUGAAAUCUUAUGGCUUAACCAUAAAAGUGCAUCCGAAACUGCAGUGCUUGAGUACUUAAGAGGAUCGCGGAAUUCCCGGUGUAGAGGUGAAAUUCGUAGAUAUCGGGAGGAACACCAGUGGCGAAGGCGGCGAUCUGGGAAGAUACUGACGCUGAGGUGCGAAAGCGUGGGGAGCAAACAGG